rnacentral:rRNA from 1 species
AGAGCGAACGCUGGCGGCAGGCUUAACACAUGCAAGUCGAGCGGGCGUAGCAAUACGUCAGCGGCAGACGGGUGAGUAACGCGUGGGAACAUACCUUUUGGUUCGGAACAACACAGGGAAACUUGUGCUAAUACCGGAUAAGCCCUUACGGGGAAAGAUUUAUCGCCGAAAGAUUGGCCCGCGUCUGAUUAGCUAGUUGGUGAGGUAACGGCUCACCAAGGCGACGAUCAGUAGCUGGUCUGAGAGGAUGAUCAGCCACAUUGGGACUGAGACACGGCCCAAACUCCUACGGGAGGCAGCAGUGGGGAAUAUUGGACAAUGGGCGCAAGCCUGAUCCAGCCAUGCCGCGUGGAUGAUGAAGGCCUUAGGGUUGUAAAGUCCUUUUAACGGGGAAGUAUAAUGACGGUACCCGUAGAAUAAGCCCCGGCUAACUCGCGCCAGCAGCCGC